rnacentral:rRNA from 1 species
CCUACGGGUGGCAGCAGUGAGGAAUAUUGGUCAAUGGACGAGAGUCUGAACCAGCCAAGUAGCGUGAAGGAUGACUGCCCUAUGGGUUGUAAACUUCUUUUAUAUGGGAAUAAAAUGUUCCACGUGUGGGAUUUUGUAUGUACCAUAUGAAUACGGAUCGGCUAACUCCGUGCCAGCAGCCGCGGUAAUACGGAGGAUCCGAGCGUUAUCCGGAUUUAUUGGGUUUAAAGGGAGCGUAGGUGGAUUGUUAAGUCAGUUGUGAAAGUUUGCGGCUCAACCGUAAAAUUGCAGUUGAAACUGGCAGUCUUGAGUACAGUAGAGGUGGGCGGAAUGCGUGGUGUAGCGGUGAAAUGCUUAGAUAUCACGAAGAACUCCGAUUGCGAAGGCAGUUCACUGGACUGCAACUGACACUGAGGCUCGAAAGUGUGGGUAUCAAACAGGAUUAGAUACCCUAGUAGUC